rnacentral:rRNA from 1 species
UGGGGAAUUUUGGACAAUGGGCGAAAGCCUGAUCCCAGCAAUGCCGCGUGUGUGAAGAAGGCCUUCGGGUUGUAAAGCACUUUUGUCCGGAAAGAAAUCCUUGGCUCUAAUACAGUCGGGGGAUGACGGUACCGGAAGAAUAAGCACCGGCUAACUACGUGCCAGCAGCCGCGGUAAUACGUAGGGUGCAAGCGUUAAUCGGAAUUACUGGGCGUAAAGCGUGCGCAGGCGGUUUGCUAAGACCGAUGUGAAAUCCCCGGGCUCAACCUGGGAACUGCAUUGGUGACUGGCAGGCUAGAGUAUGGCAGAGGGGGGUAGAAUUCCACGUNUAGCAGUGAAAUGCGUAGAGAUGUGGAGGAAUACCGAUGGCGAAGGCAGCCCCCUGGGCCAAUACUGACGCUCAUGCACGAAAGCGUGGGGAGCAAAACAGGAUUAGAUACCCUGGUAGUCCACGCCCUAAAACGAUGUCAACUAGUUGUUGGGGAUUCAUUUCCUUAGUAACGUAGCUAACGCGUGAAGUUGACCGCCUGGGGAGUACGGUCGCAAGAUUAAAAACUCAAAGGAAUUGACGGGGUCAUAGCUGUUUCCU